rnacentral:rRNA from 1 species
ACGAACGCUGGCGGCAGGCCUAACACAUGCAAGUCGAGCGGGACCUUCGGGUCCAGCGGCGGACGGGUGAGUAACGCGUGGGAAUAUGCCCUUCUCCACGGAAUAGCCUCGGGAAACUGGGAGUAAUACCGUAUACGCCCUUUGGGGGAAAGAUUUAUCGGGGAAGGGUUAGCCCGCGUUGGAUUAGGUAGUUGGUGGGGUAAUGGCCUACCAAGCCGACGAUCCAUAGCUGGUUUGAGAGGAUGAUCAGCCACACUGGGACUGAGACACGGCCCAGACUCCUACGGGAGGCAGCAGUGGGGAAUCUUAGACAAUGGGGGCAACCCUGAUCUAGCCAUGCCGCGUGAGUGAUGAAGGCCUUAGGGUUGUAAAGCUCUUUCAGCUGGGAAGAUAAUGACGGUACCAGCAGAAGAAGCCCCGGCUAACUCCGU